UAUUGUGUAAUAUCGUGCGGAAUCCAAGACUAUAAACCGUGUUGCUUUCUAUGUUUUCCAUACAUAUUUCAAAAGCGUCAAGUCUAACGGAGAGAACAAUGUAGAAUGAAUUCAUCUUAAUGCCCUUUUGUGAUUGUUCAGUGGUACUAUUUUUCCUUAUUGCUCUUCGGAACAUUUGGGGAAGAGAGUCUCACAAUAUGCGAUUGCAAGGGCUGGCAGAAUUCACAUUU
rnacentral:snoRNA from 1 species